AUAUAUGUAUAUAUAUAAACUAGGCCAAAAGUUUGGGUACACCAGUUGAAAUUUCUCGCCGCACUAAAAGUUGGAUAGCGGACUUAAGAA